UACAGAGACUGCGAGCGUUAUUCGGAUUCACUGGGCGUAAAGGGUGCGCAGGCGGCCGUGUGUGUGAGGCGUGAAAGCCCGGGGCUUAACCCCGGAAUUGCACCUCAAACUACAUGGCUAGAGCAUUGGAGAGGGUAGCGGAAUUCACGGUGUAGCAGUGAAAUGCGUAGAUAUCGAGAGGAACACCUGCGGCGAAGGCGGGUUGCUGGGCUGACACUGACGCUGAUGCGCGAAAGCCAGGGGAGCGAACGGG
rnacentral:rRNA from 1 species